AGAUAUGAAGGUGAUCUGGCUGAGACAUCUGUCACCCCACUGAUCACCAGGGUUGAUGCAGCAGAUCUGGCUGGACAGGCAAGUGUCCCCUUCCUCUCUCACCACUCCCAUGCAUCCCUCCAGAAGUUGCAAACUCCACUGCAGAGGAUGACCCUCCCUCGAAUAGGAAUAGAGAUGGACCAGCCUUCAGUAGAGGGUAGAGGAGUAGCUGUGAUUGCUCCCCUGCUACAACCUCCACACAUAAUGACAUAAGAAAGCUUGUAUCACCUUGCUCAGCCGGCCUCCCAGCGAAGGACAGGAAGAACGUGGAAGGACUUGUGCUCAUGUCACUUAAGCUUUCACCUGCUUUUGUG
rnacentral:sRNA from 1 species